GGUUUUAUAUCUGCCUUGCGUGAUGACGUCAUUUCGGGUAAACUCACGCUGCGUCCUCAGAUCGCUUUGAGCAUGCUGAGGAGAGGUGAAAAGUUACAGACGUAACAUCUAUUCAUACUGUACUCUCUUUAAUCCAUCCAGGCCUCAUAAUAAAAUCUCCAUCAGCAACAGUUCCAGUUGUUUCUUUUCGUAUUCUGUUACACAACGCAGAGUAGUAAUAAGCAACAAGUACCAGCCGGUUACACAGACAUGGUGGCUUCUGAGACUACUACCUCUUAUGAUUGGUGAUUUGAUUCCAGAAGGUCACAAGCACUGGGAAAUACCGCUUUCCUUGCUUGGCUGUAUGGAGAUGAUUUUUUCUCCAGCUUUGAAUGAAGAGGCAGUUAUAUUUUUACAACAUCUGAUUGAGGAACACAACAGACUAUUUUUGGAGCUUUAUCCAGAAAGGCAUCUGAAGCCAAAACACCACUUUAUGCUUCAUUAUCCUGGGGCUAUCAGAAAACUCGGACCCUUGGUCAAGUUUGGAGGCCAAAUAUGGCUUUUUUAAGAGAGUAUGCCAUAUCACGUGCAAUUUUCGCAAUAUUUGUAAAACGCAGGCUUACCGACACCAAAUGAUGAUGUGCUACAUCAUGUUGUCUGACCAGAUGUUCUCACAUGACUUGGAAGUUGGUCCAGGAUACACCACGCUCCUGGCAUUAUUAGAGAAUUUUGAAAAAGUAAAAUGUGGGUUUGAUGGAGCUCCAUUGUUCUCAGAUGUCUUGCCUGCUUGGAUUAAAUUUAAGGGAACUACCUACAGGUCAGGAAUGACACUUUUUGUGUCUCACUCUGGUGAUAGUGAGCCCCUGUUCGGAACCAUUCAAAACAUUGUGCUCAUUGACACCAAAAUCAAAUUUAUUGUGAAACAAUGGGAGACAGUAGGAUUUGACAGACAUUUUUUUGCUUUCACGGUGUCUCCUUCUUCUGCACUUGACUUGGUGGACAUCCAGUCACUUGAUGAUCACCACCCUCUCCAUGUUGUGACGUCCUUUAAAGAGAAUGACCGUAAUAAUUACGUUUCUCUGAGAAACAGGCUAUUUCAGAGGCAACCAUAAAGGCUGAUGAUACAUUGUUUUAUUUAAGUAGUAUAUCUUGAAGAGCAUAUGUUUUACACACUACUCACUCUAGUUGUAAAGAGCAUCCUAUGCAAUAAUAGUUUUAACAUUUCAGUAUUUUCCUUUUUAAGCUAAAAUGGCUUAUCAUCAGCCAAAGCUGUGGAAGUGAGUAUUAGUUUAAAGUCAUUUUUAUUUUUUGGUUUUAAUGUCAGAUUUAAUCAAACUAAAACAAAGGGUAAGCUUGUCUACACCUACUACCCAAUACUACCUCUUGACUAUUAACAAUAUUCGGGUAAUAAUUAUAUCAGUCAUCAUGGGCACAUCACAAAACAUAGAGAUGUUCACGAUUUAGUGACAUCAAAAUCCAGGUACAGUAAAUUUCACUAUAAUAUGAUAGUCAAAACUUGCUGAAAUUGAAAAUUAAGUUUACUUUUGUUCAGUAACACUUAAAUAAAAUAUGAUGCAUACUGUUAGAAUUAAUACAGGUAAAUUGCCCUUCUAUUGUACUGUAUGUAUCAAUCAGAAUUUAUAAUUCAACCUUGGACAUCAUCUACAUACCACAAUUUAUUUUAUAGGAAUCAAUCCCAGAUGCUGGCACAGUAAGCAGAGCAGUAUCUGAAAAAACAAGUGCAGAGCAGCAUGGUCAUGAACCAAAUAUAUCUCUGGAGGAAAUAACUUCAUUUAACGUAAGAGAAAUUCUUCUGGCAACACCUGAUGGAAAACCUAUUAUUAAUGGUAUAGAAGAAAAGCACUGCAUGUCAAUUCAUGAGAGACGAGCCAUGGUUCGGAUAUUGGUGUCACAUCUGAGGAGGUGCUUUGGAGAAAAGUAAGUGCUUAAGAAAAAUGUUCAAUGUGCAUUUUUAAUCAAAAAAAGUGCAUUACUUUUGUUGCCUUUAGUCCAUAUGCCGGUACAAAAGUCAUCUUGGCUUCAUCUGUUGUUGAACAGUUUCAAGGCCUUAAGGACUGCCAGAAUAAAGGCUAUGAAGCAUGGUUCAGUCCAGGUCGAAAUCACAGACCUGCCAAAGGCCUCUUGGAGGAGCGCCUUACCAAAUCAGAGUAUAUCAAACAACACUGACGAAGCCAAUAACUUAACUUUGCCGGAAUCAACUGUGGACAUGGAACGAGCCGUUCAAAUGACUGAGUGGCUUAAAAAUAAUAUCUGGCCACCAAGUUAGGUUGAACAAUACAUGAAAGAGACAGCCAUCCAUCGGGCAAAAUGGAUUUGAGAUAAUGGAACCAAAGCAGUCAUGGAAAUAGUUAAAGAGUAUCCACGUCUCCUCGACACUCCGGACAUGAUAUCCAAGGACUUUUCAAUUCUUAAUCCUGACUCUGCUUCAAAACUCACGAGAACUGGGUGCCUGUCUUCAAGGAUAAGAUCCGACAGUUCGCCACCCGAGAAAAGCAGCCUGUUCAUUUACUUUCCAAUUUAGAAACUAUGUCAGCAGACCAUCAGAGUGACAUCACCUUACUUGUCCUACCUAUAAUCCUUCCAACCUCAAUUUAUAAGAUUGGAAGGAAAAUGUUCAGACCGACUUAUAUUGAAACCAGGAAGGCUUUCAUAGACAUACAACCGAUCGGAACCAACAUGGCUGAAUACCUGCGGUCAAAAGGCACAAGCGAUGUUCUCAUGCUGGGAGACAACGAGUGCUUUCAGGCUUUUGUUAUACUAAAUGGAGAAGCAAUUGAGCAAAAAACAUUGCUGGCAGCAGUAGAUGUUUGCUUUAAAGCUUUCUACGUCUUCGAUAUCAAUUACCCCAAGCAGUGCUCCCCCGUCUGGCAGUUUCUACAGACUGUGGUCUUUGGACUUCUUGGAGUUUAAACUCCAUCAAUAAGAAUUCUACGUGCUUUUAUAUCUGCUGCUAAAGAGUAGUUAUUGUUAGUUAGAACAACUUUGCUGGUGCAAUUUAUUUUGCUUGAAGUUCUUACUGUGACCCUUUCUCUAGGAAAAACUGAACAUAUGCAGUUUGUUAUUUUGGCUGAAUGUUAUCUGAUUCUGACAUUGUGCAGAGGUGCAUAAAGUGUUAAACAUGUUCUGAGAAUGUUUUAAUGCCAAAGUUUUUACAAUGAAUUUUUCUGUGACAAUUUCUCUCUUAGGAAAACAGAAUUUAUGCAGUUUGUUGCUUUGGAUGAAUGUUUACUGAUUCUGACAUGCUGAUGUGCAUAAAGUGUAAAACAAGUUAAGAGAAUGUUUUAAAGCCAAUGAUUUUACACUAAAAUUGAUUUUACUGAGACAAUUUCUUUAGUGGUUUGUUAUUUUUGCAGAAUGUUAACUGAUGCUGACAUUGUGCAGAGGUGUGUUAAAAAAAAUAGAGAAUGUUUUUAUGCCAAUGUUUUUACACUACAAUUGAUUCAUUUUUACUGUGACCAUUUCUCUCUUAGGAAAAUUGUUGUUUUUUGCUGAAUGUUAACUGAUGCUGACAUUGUGUAGAUGUGCAUAGUUCUCAACAAGUUAUAAAGUUUGAGAAUGUUUUAA